rnacentral:rRNA from 1 species
UUGCAUAUCCAAAAGCGGAGGAAAAGAAACCAACUGGGAUUACCUUAGUAACGGCGAGUGAAGCGGUAAAAGCUCAAAUUUGAAAUCUGGUACUUUCAGUGCCCGAGUUGUAAUUUGUAGAAUUUGUCUUUGAUUAGGUCCUUGUCUAUGUUCCUUGGAACAGGACGUCAUAGAGGGUGAGAAUCCCGUUUGGCGAGGAUACCUUUUCUCUGUAAGACUUUUUCGAAGAGUCGAGUUGUUUGGGAAUGCAGCUCAAAGUGGGUGGUAAAUUCCAUCUAAAGCUAAAUAUUGGCGAGAGACCGAUAGCGAACAAGUACAGUGAUGGAAAGAUGAAAAGAACUUUGAAAAGAGAGUGAAAAAGUACGUGAAAUUGUUGAAAGGGAAGGGCAUUUGAUCAGACAUGGUGUUUUUUGCAUGCACUCGCCUCUCGUGGGCUUGGGCCUCUCAAAAAUUUCACUGGGCCAACAUCAAUUCUGGCAGCAGGAUAAAUCAUUAAGAAUGUAGCUACUUCGGUAGUGUUAUAGCUUUUUGGAAUACUGUUAGCCGGGAUUGAGGACUGCGCUUCGGCAAGGAUGUUGGCAUAAUGGUUAAAUGCCGCCCGUCUUGA